rnacentral:tRNA from 1 species
UCCCAGGUAGCUCAGAUGGUAAAGAAUCCACUUGCAAUGGGGAAGACCUGGGUUUGAUACCUGGCUUGGGAA